GAUGAAGAACGCAGCGAAAUGCGAUAAGUAGUGUGAAUUGCAGAAUUCAGUGAAUCAUCGAAUCUUUGAACGCACAUUGCGCCCCAUGGCAUUCCGUGGGGCAUACCUGUUCGAGCGUCAUUUCAACCUUCGGGCGGUCCUUUGGUCCGUCUGGAUUUGGGUGUCGUCUAAUGGCGUGCCAUAAAAGAAUUGGCGGUGUAGGUGCCGGCUUCGAGCGUAGCAGAUGCGAUUCGCUUUGGAAGCUGGCGUGCUCACCUUGCCAGAAAAGUCUCUGAAGAGCUGACCUCGGAUCAGGUAGGGAUACCCGCUGAACUUAAGCAUAUCAAUAAGCGGAGGA
rnacentral:misc_RNA from 1 species